rnacentral:rRNA from 1 species
GGAAACAGAUGCUAAUACCGAAUAAAACUUAGUAUCGCAUGAUAUCAAGUUAAAAGGCGCUACGGCGUCACCUAGAGAUGGAUCCGCGGUGCAUUAGUUAGUUGGUGGGGUAAAGGCUUACCAAGACGAUGAUGCAUAGCCGAGUUGAGAGACUGAUCGGCCACAUUGGGACUGAGACACGGCCCAAACUCCUACGGGAGGCUGCAGUAGGGAAUCUUCCACAAUGGGCGCAAGCCUGAUGGAGCAACGCCGCGUGUGUGAUGAAGGCUUUCGGGUCGUAAAGCACUGUUGUAUGGGAAGAAAUGCUAAAAUAGGGAAUGAUUUUAGUUUGACGGUACCAUACCAGAAAGGGACGGCUAAAUACGUGCCAGCAGCCGCGGUAAUACGUAUGUCCCGAGCGUUAUCCGGAUUUAUUGGGCGUAAAGCGAGCGCAGACGGUUGAUUAAGUCUGAUGUGAAAGCCCGGAGCUCAACUCCGGAAUGGCAUUGGAAACUGGUUAACUUGAGUGUUGUAGAGGUAAGUGGAACUCCAUGUGUAGCGGUGGAAUGCGUAGAUAUAUGGAAGAACACCAGUGGCGAAGGCGGCUUACUGGACAACAACUGACGUUGAGGCUCGAAAGUGUGGGUAGCAAACAGGAUUAGAUACCCUGGUAGUCCACACCGUAAACGAUGAAUACUAGGUGUUAGGAGGUUUCCGCCUCUUAGUGCCGAAGCUAACGCAUUAAGUAUUCCGCCUGGGGAGUACGACCGCAAGGUUGAAACUCAAAGGAAUUGACGGGGACCCGCACAAGCGGUGGAGCAUGUGGUUUAAUUCGAAGCAACGCGAAGAACCUUACCAGGUCUUGACAUCCUUUGAAGCUUUUAGAGAUAGAAGUGUUCUCUUCGGAGACAAAGUGACAGGUGGUGCAUGGUCGUCGUCAGCUCGUGUCGUG